UACAGAGGUCCCAAGCGUUGUUCGGAUUCACUGGGCGUAAAGGGUGCGUAGGUGGCCAGGUAAGUCCGGUGUGAAAGCUCCGAGCUCAACUCGGAAACGGCAUUGGAUACUAUCUGGCUCGAGGGUCGGAGGGGAGACUGGAAUUCUCGGUGUAGCAGUGAAAUGCGUAGAUAUCGAGAGGAACACCAGUGGCGAAGGCGAGUCUCUGGACGACACCUGACACUGGGGCACGGAAGCUAGGGGAGCAAACAGG
rnacentral:misc_RNA from 1 species